rnacentral:rRNA from 1 species
UGCCAGCAGCCGCGGUAAUACAGAGGGUGCGAGCGUUAAUCGGAUUUACUGGGCGUAAAGCGUGCGUAGGUGGCCAAUUAAGUCAAAUGUGAAAUCCCCGAGCUUAACUUGGGAAUUGCAUUCGAUACUGGUUGGCUAGAGUAUGGGAGAGGAUGGUAGAAUUCCAGGUGUAGCGGUGAAAUGCGUAGAGAUCUGGAGGAAUACCGAUGGCGAAGGCAGCCAUCUGGCAUCAUACUGACACUGAGGCUCGAAAGCGUGGGUAGCAAACAGGAUUAGAUA